rnacentral:rRNA from 1 species
UACAGAGACUGCAAGCGUUAUUCGGAUUCACUGGGCGUAAAGGGUGCGCAGGCGGCCAAGUGUGUGAGGCGUGAAAGCCCGGGGCUUAACCCCGGAAUUGCACCUCAAACUACAUGGCCAGAGCAUUGGAGAGGGUAGCGGAAUUCACGGUGUAGCAGUGAAAUGCGUAGAUAUCGUGAGGAACACCAGAGGCGAAGGCGGCUACCUGGACAAUUGCUGACGCUCAGGCACGAAAGCGUGGGGAGCAAAAGGG